UUUAACAAUAACUCUUAAAUUGAUAGUAAUAAUAGCAGCUGCUGUUUCUCAGCCCUUACUGUGUCCUUGGCAGCGUGUUAAGCAUAGUUUAUGAAAACCUUCGCCACAACCUUGUAAUGUAUCCUAGGGGGAAUGUCUGGAAAAGACCAUUCUGAUCUUCAAGGAGCUUCCAAUUAAAUGAGUGAAACAGCCUCUAAACAAGCCGCUGGAACCUGGGGUGAUGACAGCAACAUCAUGCGUCACACUGUGCAUCGUAGUCAUCUCCUUAAAUCCUCAAAACAAUCUGGUACAGUUGGUAUUAUUGCCGUCAUCUUACAGAUCAGAAAACCAAGGAAUGGAGUAGCUUAGGUUCCAUUCCACUCAAGAAUGGAAUCAAGCUCCGGUGGAACCCAAAGUCCAUGCUGUUAACUUCUACGCUGAUGUGGGACAUGAAAUUCCAGGGAUCGAUUUUGAAACAAGCCAGGCAGAGAGACCCAGCUGUGGAACCCUCUGAUUAGGGGGAGUUAGGAGCAGUUAGCCCACCACUACCGCAGUCAGCAUGAUGCAAACCGGUCCUCCAGACAGGCGAUGACUCAAGAUAACAAGACCUCCUGCUGCACCACUCCCGCGUUUCUCUCACCUUUUUCCUUCUUAAACCCCUUCACUCAGCCCAAAAAGUUAGAAUGGUCUUUCAGAGGCAUGGGCCUGUCCAUUCCCCAACUGCUAGCAUUUGAAUAAAG
rnacentral:lncRNA from 10 species